GUGGCGGCGGCGGCGGCGUCGCCGGCAGUGGCGGUAGCAGCGGCGCUCUGGCGAAGCUCAGUUGCCAUGCUCGGUCUCAGCAAGCUCCGGCGUGUAUGUGGGCCUUCCGAAGUAGUGCAAGAUCGGAAGAUGUGGAGAGAGCUGGCCCAUAGAAUCGCCAAGAAUUGGACACAACUGAGUGGAUAACAUCAUCAUCAUCAUCAUGUAUGCCUUCCAGUCAGUGUUCACUUGAGAUAACUGCCUGGAUAAGUUCCUGAAAUUCUCUUGGCAAGAUUUUUUGGAAACGAUUUGCCAUUGCCCCUUUCCUAAAACUCAGAGGGAGUGACUGGUCCAAGGACACCCACCUGGCUUUGUGUCAUAACUAGAACUCUUGACUAGAACUCGUGGUAUCCUAGUUUCUAGCCUGAUGCCUUAACCAUUACACCAAACUGUUUUUCUGUUCAGAAUAAUAAUUCUAAUAAAGUUAAAGAAGAAAAGAGAAAAAGCCGAUUGUAGUUUAAUUAGACAGUCUUUUCCUGGGAUCCCACCGUUGUUUCCUAGAAUAUUUUCUCUGUAUGCCAAAAUAUAUAAACUAAGGAAUAGGAAGUACCUAUUGUGCUUGAAUUCUAUCAAUAUGGGAUACAAAGCAAUGGAGAUGUGUGAACCCAUAAAUGUAAUAUUAAUUGGAAUGCUUGGCACUCAUACUAACUAGCAACUCAUUUGUUCCCAUUUUGUUCAAAUCUCCAUAGACAUUAGAAGGAAGUACUGUUGACACUUAAUCCUUGGAGGGAUGAAAUGUUGGUGAAGUAGAUUAGGCAUUUUCUUGCACAGAUCCAUAAAAAAUAAUCACUGGUAGUAUAUCAAUAAAAUAAGGUAAUUAGGUAAUUGUUUAAUAUUUAAUAUAAUAUUGUUUAAUAUUAUCUAAAUAUUAUUUUCUCUACCACUCUAAAGAUACAAAUCCCCAGAGUAUUUGUAGGAGGAAAAAGGAGAAUUAUGUCAGUUUGGUGUAAUGUUAAAGUGCAAGACUAUAAACUGAGAGACUGUGAGUUCUAGUCCUGCUUUAAGCACAAAGAUACCUGAAUGGCCUUGAGCUAGUCCCUCUUUCUCAGCCUUAGGCAGGAAACAAUGGCAGACCCUACUGAAUUUUUUUUCCAAAGAAAAAAGAAAUCUUUUCUUUCCAAGAAAACUUCAUGCAGUCGCCAGAAGUCAAAAACUGACUUAAAGGUGUGUGUGCCCUCCCCAUCCCACACACGCACAUUUGUGUGCGUACACACACACACAGACAGAGAGAAUGAAAGGAGAAUUACUGAAAAGUCUUUAUUUGCAUAUAUCCAUCAGGUCUUCAGCAAUAAUUUUCAAUUUAAGCAUUUGUUUAGUGACCAUGCAACGGCACUGAAAAAAGUGACUUAUGACCAUUUUUCACACUUGGAAUCAUUGCAGCCUCUUCAGUGAUCAAAACUUGGCAACUGGCAUGUAUUUAUGACUGUUGCAGUAUCCUGGGAUCCUAUGAUCACCUUUUGUGACCUGAUCAAUCAAUGAUUUACUUAAUAACCAUGUUACUAACCUAACAACUGCACUGAUGCACUUAACAACUGUGGCAAGAAAGAUCAUAAAGUGGGGCAAAAUUCAACAAUGGAAAUUUUGGGCUUCAUUGUGGUUGUAAGUCGAGGACUACCUGUACAAUGGAAAAAGUUAAAUGGGGAGGCUAGAUACAAUAACAAUUGCAUAGGUGUAUCAAACAUGGUAUUGAAAGAGAUUUCAUAAAUCGUUCCAUCUACGUGGAGAUGGAGUCAAGUACUGUUACACUGGAACGGAAUAUACUGUAUGUUACAACCUCAUUGCUAGACUUCUGUUCUCUUAUAAUAGGUUUCUACUAGGUAAGCUAAAUUUCCUGACAUCCUAAUUUGUACAGCUGGAGAGUUCUUAAAUCUCCACUGGAGACUUCUUCCUUCAGCUCAGGAAAUUAGAAAGGGAGAUAUAGUUCAGGUUCAAAAGUCCAGAAAGACAGAUCUUAAGAAGCUUUGUGCUUGUUCUGAAACACAAGGACUAACUAUAUAACUACAUUAAUGCACUUGGAUAAGACUUGAAUGAGGCAUUCCCAUGUAAAAUUAAUGAAAUUAUAUAAAAAGCUGUCUUGGGCAAAAAAAUAUAGGAAUGUAAAGAAAGAAAGCAUACCAAAUAAAAGCAGUAUGUUAGCUUGUGUUAGAUUUGUGGUUUGGAUUUUUAUAAACAAUAAUUGAUAAUUGAACCAAUUACCCAGAGAAGUAGCGAGAUACAUUGGAUGCAUGUAAGCAGAGCUUAGGCAGCCUUCUGCCGUGGACUUUAUAUUUGGAUGAAUUCCUGCACUGAGUAGCGGAUUGACUCAAUGUCCUAAAUGGUGUCUUCCAUUAUAUUAUUAUUAUAUUCACAACAAUAUGAAAUAACAGUUGCCAGUUAUUUAGCUGGUAUCAGCCUUCACAUCAGGGGUGAAAUCCAGCAGGUUCUGGAGAACCGGUAGCAGAAAUUUUGAGCAGUUUGGAGAACCAGCAAAUACCACCUCUGGCUGGCCCCAGAGUGAGAUCGGAAUGGAGAUUUUGCAAUAUCCUUCCUCUGCCAUGCCCAUCAAACCACGCCCACAGAACCGGUAGUAAAAAAAAUUGGAUUUCACCACUGCUUCACAUGCAUCAAGUUCUUCCCAAGAACCUCCUAGGAUGUUCUAAUGUAUUGGCAUAGUACUGUAUAUUUGCAGAUUAAAGCAAUGUGGCUUUUUGCAAUUGUCAGAUGGAAAUUGUAUUAAUGUGUAGAUUUCCUAAAUGCCGUCCAAGAUUUUUUUGGUAUGGCACCAAGUGUGCCAAUAACCAUUGAGACCACCAUGGCUGAUUUAUAUCAUAAUCUUUCAACUUGAUUUGAUUUUCAGAUAUUUUCUGUUUUUCUCCAAUUCUUUGUCUUUUACUAUACUAUGCUGCAGUAUUUCCAAAUCAAUUAUUCACACUUUGGCAACUGUGCUAGUGACUGUCAUUGUUUAUAAUCAGUUUAUGCAAUCUUCUUACAUGAGCUGAAUAUAUGAUCUCCUUUUUCUUCUGCUUCUUUGCACAAUCUGCACUCUGAAUCAUUUGAUGAUUUUUUCCCCCAGUUCUGGCCUUGAUUGCAUUAGCUUAAAUAGCUUGUUCUUGCACAGUCAAAAUUAUGCAUUCAGUUUCCUUUUUUUAAUGCCCCAGGUAUAAGACAGUGCUCGGUUAUCUUUAUCCACUCUUCCCUGAUUUUUUGUAGAAAUGGACCAUGUAGUGCUUUUCAUUGCCAGCAUUCUGUUUGUGGGUUUAUUACAUUAUUUUGAUAUUCAUAUUUUGUUUCCUGUACAUUCAGUAAACUCCAAAGUUUAAUUUGCAUCAAUGCUUGUUCUUGUCUGUCAUUUAGAUAAUCAACCAAUGCACACUUUCCUUCAUCAGAUUAUUUGACCUGGAGUAAACCUCUGUCUCCAUUUCUGAGGAGCAGCACAUCACCAGGAGAAAACAGAGCAGUUGAAGAAAUGCAGGUAGGAAAGGAUGGAUCCGAUAACAUUGCAACAGUAUUUCAGGACUCUGCCGAGGCUUCUUUAUUUCCCUUUAUCCAUAUAUGUUAUCCUUAGUUCUGGAUGUGGUGACACUACUCUGAUCCAGUUCCAGAUCCAAUUCACAACCUUGGUGUUCUUCUGGACUCUCAUCUCCAGCUCGAAGAGCAAGUGUUACACUAAAUGAAAAAUGUCUACAGGGAACCAGUAUCAUUUGUGUGAUUUCCAUGGAGGAUGAGACUUAUGGGAGUACUUGUGCUACUGGAACACUCAUUCUAGCGGCCUGUGCAGCUAGUAGCUGAUUCCGACAGUGAGGAGCCUGGUGUGGUGAUGCGCCAGCAACCUGUGCAGCUGGCCCUCGAGUCAGACAAUGAGGAGGCUGGAGAAGAUGUUGUGCCAGAGGCGGGGAUUCAGCCAGGGCUUUCAGAACCUCCAGAAGCUCCCAUAAGUGAAGAGGAAGAAGAAGAGGAGCGUCUUCUUGAUGCACAAGCAUGCAGAGCUGCCAAAAGGCAGGAGUGGCUUCUCAGAAGGAGGUCUCCUUGAGAGUAAGGCUUGGGGCUAAUUGGCCACUCCCCUAGCCUAUUUAAAGAAGGACGAUGACUGAGGCAAUUUGCAGGAAACAACUUCGAUCAUAUUCCUUUGCGUCUUGAUUCCAGAAACAUCUGAUCGGCUCUUGCUCCUUUCUUGUCAGUUUUCCUGCAAAUUGCUUCUGGGCAUUCUGCCAGCCACAGUAAGAUUACAGUUAUCUGCAAUACUAUGCUUCAGAAUUGAGUUAUUAUUCUUUGGAUUCUUGUCGCUGUUAAUGAAGUUAAAUUAACAGCCCUUGUUCAGAAAAGACUGAUUUAAACUGUACUUGUGUUCGAACAACUACUAAGAAAACUCAUUAUUAGUCCUUAAUUAGUAAACUAAGGUUUGUACGACUUUGUGUGUGCUGCAUUCUUUGGGGUCCGUAGCUGGGGCAGAACAGUCCCAGACUUAGUCUUUAAACUAUGUACCAACUUUGUUUAUAAUCUUUCACAAUAUUUAUAAGCUGACAAGAGUGGUUUUUUUCACUCUACUAUGGUCAUUAGCAAAGACAGAUGCAAAUGCUAGUAUCUAUAAAGCAUUUUGGACUGAUCAAAGGUUGUUCCCAUAUCUUCUCUUGUACUAGGUUUCUGCAUUAAUUCUGACUCCAUUGCAGUGAUUAUUAUGGGCAUGCAGCCAAUCCUUCCACAAACUUGCAUUUCUUUGCCGGAAGCUGUUUUGAUUAAGUCAACCAGUUCCAGAAGCUUCAAGGACUGUGUCACAGCUGGUAGGACACAUCUGAUUUCUGGCCUCGGUGUUUUCUGGAAAUAUUAAAUAUUCUAUAGAGGAGUGGUUAAUAAAAAAGAAUUUAAGCA